rnacentral:SRP_RNA from 1 species
GCUGGGCGCAGUGGUGUGCGCCUUUAAUCCCAGCUACUCGGGAGGCUGAGGCAGGAGAAUCGCUGGAACCCAGGAGGUGGAGGCUGCAGUGAGCCGAGAUGGUGCCAUUGUACUCCAGCCUGGGUGACACAGCAAGACUCUGUCUCAA